rnacentral:pre_miRNA from 1 species
ACCAGAAACAUCAUUGAGUGCAGCGUUGGUGAACCCCAAAACCUAAUUUUCAUCUCUCUUGUUUGGGUUUCGGCAGCGCUGCACCCAAUUAUGCCUUUG